AAGAGGAGGGAGGGGGAGGGGACACCGCUCGCCCCGCCGCUCCCCCCGCCCGCCCCGGCGCCCCCAGAGGCGGGCGGUCGCCGCCUGCUCGCCCGCCGCCCCUCGCCCUGUCGAGGCGGCACCCCCCUCCCCACGACAGAGGCCUAGGCCGCCGGCAGGCGGGCGGGCCGGGGCGGUACCUGCGCUGGAAGUCCGUCUCGAAGGGGGCCAGGCAACAUCCAGGCUCUUCCUUUUCCGCUUGUCCCUUAGUUCCAAGACGGCAGGUCAUCCCCAAUGAGCAGGUCGUACUUUGGUGUUUGUAAAGGUCCUGAUGUUGGCAGUUUAAGUCUUCCUGAUGCAGACGAGAGAGGGGACUUGCUUUACGACAAGUCAUCAGCCCCUGAGGUCUUCACAAAGAGAACAAUGAUGUUCUUGUUGGGGAGUUGUAAUUCCUCAGUCUUGGUUGUCUCCUCAGUAACUCCUAUGUUGUCAUCUGUUUCACCACAUGCUCAAGAAAAACUCACAAAGGUUUCCAUCCUGGGAGCUGACUCAUUCUCUAAAUCAGGACCAUCAUCCUCUGAACACAAAAUCUUCCUGUGCAGAACUUAAG